UAAACUACGAUUAGAUACCCUAUUAUUUUGAAUGUAAAUUUUUACCUAGGUAGUAAUAGUUAUUUCUUUAAACCUAAAGAAUUUGGCGGUGUAUUAUUCUUUUCAGAGGAACUUGCCAUGUAAUCGAUAGUCCUCGUUAUAUCUUGCUUUAUUUUGUUAAUCAGUAUGUAUACCGUCGUUAUAAGUUUAUUUUAUAAGAAUUAAUUUACUAAUAAAUUUAUUUGUUGUUAUUUCAGAUCAAGGUGCAGCUAAUAUUAAAGUAUAGGUGAGUUACAUUAUUAUUUUAAUAUAUGGAUUUAUUUUUAUAAUUUUAAUGAAGGUGGAUUUGAUAGUAAUUUAUAUAAUAGAGUUUUUUUGAAAAUAGCUCUGAUAUGAGUACACAUCG
rnacentral:rRNA from 1 species